AAGUAAUUAAUUUAUGUACAAUAUUUGAUCACAGCAUAUUUUUAAAUCAUCUUGUAUACAGUCACGCUAAAUGUAUAUUGUUAAGCUGAUCGACAAGAGGGUCGAAUAGAGAUGAAAUUGUUUCUACGUCAGUUGAAAAUAUAGGCAAUGUAAGCGAUGCAAAAUCUAAUUAUUUCUUUGCAAAACCUAAUUAGGCAUUAAAAAAGGUUAACGCCAGCGCCUGAAACCGUUUUUGUUUAAUAAUCCCAUUACUGACGGCUCAUCAUGUAUAAAAUGGCGCAGAAGGACACAAACUUUCCACUUGUUAAAGUGAAUCUCCCAGAAAAAGACAAGACAAACUCUACAUUAGCUCACUGUUAGGAUAUGACAGGAUACCAAACGGAAAGGCGCAUCACGGCACUAGAUGGUUGAAGCCUGUCUGUGCUCUGAGCUCGCCCUCACAGGCGGAUGAUUGAUGAGGGAUGGGGGCAAGGCCGAGCACGCACAGCAUAAAGACCCAUACACGGCUCAAUAAAGCCGGGCCUGAGCGGGGACCGGGCGCGCUCAAUAGACGCUGGCGCGAGUAGAUUGAGGCCAACGGCAGAGAGGAAGGUGCUCUGUUGUCCCAUAAUCCAGUUAGCCAUUGAGCCACCAGCCGUCUGCAGCACGAUAGAAAGCAGUAGCGAAAUACGGCCGAGGAGAGCAGAAGACAGUAAGGUUGUGCAGCCUAGUGUGGGGUGGGGUGGGGGGGUGGUGGUUUGGGAGAGAAUCACAGCUCGUAGCCCCUGCUGAGAAAGACAGAGCACAACAGAGUGAAAGGAAUAAAGAAAUAAAUAAAGCGAGCACAUUGCAGUCCCACAUUAACCAGGCACCCUGGAAAAAACGGCAAAAGUGAAGAUUGAAAUAGAUUUAUUCCCGUUCACAAAUAAAAAAAUACGAUAAACAUAGAUUCUCGUUAAAUUUAGAGAUAAAGGUUUGUUUUAUGGAAAUCAUUAAUACUACUACUACUACUACUACUACUACUACUACUAAUAAUAAUAAUAAAUAACUAAGUGGGUGAUCCUGUUUUUAUGUAAAUCAUUAUCACCAAUGCAUUUAUUAUUUUUAUUAAAUAAUUUACAGGAAUGCACAAUUGCAACCUAUGGAAUGAUAAGCCAAUAUAUACUAGGAUGCAAUAUUUUCACUUUCGACUGCAAUUUACGAAGAGAGUAGUAUAUCCCAGCAGCUUAAUGUGAACAUGAAUAGGCGGCAUCAUAAGAGCUCCAUACGUGGCCUGCACACCAUGUUCUCUGCUCUUCUCCACCUCAUCAUUUAAAAACCCAGCAUCAGUCAAAAACACAAUUAGUAUACCCUAAACCCCUGCCAGGAGUGCCUUUCAUCCAGCCAAGGCCACAGACAAGGUAUCCUGCAGAACUGCCUUGUUCCUGGAGGCCAAAUAGACAGAGAGAGUGAUGGAGAAUUAGAGGGAUGAAACACUUACGCUGCACUCUGAUGCCUGCUGUGAUUCUCAGCAGGUUUUUCACAACAGCUUUCAUUCUCAGUU